UUACGGCCAUAUCUCGAUGAAACAUCGGUUCCCGUACGAUCACCGAAGUUAAGCAACGUCGUGCCUGAUAAUACCUAAAUGGAUGAUCGCUUGGGAAUACGAGGUGCUGUAAG